UACAGAGGGUGCAAGCGUUAAUCGGAAUUACUGGGCGUAAAGCGUGCGUAGACGGUUAUGUAAGUCGGGUGUGAAAGCCCCGGGCUCAACCUGGGAAUGCCAUUCGAGACUGCAUAGCUAGGGUGCGGAAGAGGGAAGCGGAAUUUCCGGUGUAGUGGUGAAAUGCGUAGAUAUCGGGAGGAACACCAGUGGCGAAGGCGGCUACCUGGCCCACUCUUGACGCUGAGGCGCGAAAGCUAGGGGAGCAAACGGG
rnacentral:rRNA from 1 species